rnacentral:lncRNA from 1 species
UCUUCUUGUCGAACUUGCCAUCUCUCUUUGUGAAUUUCGCCUUAAUCAAAAGACUUUCACCAUUCGAAGAUGAUAUGUGCUCCCUUCAUUCGUUUAAAUCCUUAGAGUACAAGGUUGAUUGAACUUAUUCAAAGGUCGGAGAUUCUCUUCCAUACAAGAGAGUUUCUUUGAAGUGAGCAUUUGUUUUGGGUAAAGCACACAACAGUAACAGCGCUUGAUCUUCAUCCUCGGUUUUUACAUCGAUAUUUU